CCUACGGGCGGCAGCAGUGAGGAAUAUUGGUCAAUGGACGCGAGUCUGAACCAGCCAAGCCGCGUGAGGGAAGACUGCCCUAUGGGUUGUAAACCUCUUUUAUUCGGGAAGAAACAGCGAUACGCGUAGGUUGCUGCAUGUACCGUACGAAUAAGCAUCGGCUAACUCCGUGCCAGCAGCCGCGGUAAUACGGAGGAUGCAAGCGUUAUCCGGAUUUAUUGGGUUUAAAGGGUGCGUAGGCGGGCGGAUAAGUUAGUGGUUAAAUGCCGGGGCUUAACUCCGGAAUUGCCUUUGAUACUGGCAGGCUAGAGAGCAGUCGAGGUAGGCGGAAUGUAUGGUGUAGCGGUGAAAUGCUUAGAGAUCACACAGAACACCGAUGGCGAAGGCAGCUUACCAAGCUAAGUCUGACGCUGAGGCACGAAAGCGUGGGUAGCAAACAGGAUUAGAUACCCUAGUAGUC
rnacentral:rRNA from 1 species